rnacentral:rRNA from 1 species
GGAUUAGAUACCCUGCUAGUCCACGCCGUAAACGAUGUCUACUUGGAGGUUGUGGCCUUGAGCCGUGGCUUUCGGAGCUAACGCGUUAAGUAGACCGCCUGGGGAGUACGGUCGCAAGAUUAAAACUCAAAUGAAUUGACGGGGGCCCGCACAAGCGGUGGAGCAUGUGGUUUAAUUCGAAGCAACGCGAAGAACCUUACCAAGUCUUGACAUCCUGCGAACUUUUCAGAAAUGAAUUGGUGCCUUCGGGAACGCAGUGACAGGUGCUGCAUGGCUGUCGUCAGCUCGUGUUG